rnacentral:tRNA from 1 species
UCUAAGUAAGCUGAGUGCAGCAGUCGGCCUUGUAAGUCGAAAGAGGGGCCCCCCGCUUAGAG